CCUACGGGUGGCAGCAGUGAGGAAUAUUGGUCAAUGGAGGCAACCCUGAACCAGCCAAGUAGCGUGCAGGAUGACGGCCCUACGGGUUGUAAACUGCUUUUAUGAGGGGAUAAACUGAGGCACGUGUGCCUUAUUGCAGGUACUGCAUGAAUAAGGAUCGGCUAAUUCCGUGCCAGCAGCCGCGGUAAUACGGAGGGUCCGGGCGUUAUCCGGAUUUAUUGGGUUUAAAGGGAGCGCAGGUGGCUCGUUAAGCCAGUUGUGAAAUGUUGCGGCUCAACCGUCGAAUUGCAAUGGAUACUGGGAGUCUUGAGUGCAGCUGAGGUAGGCGGAAUUCGUGGUGUAGCGGUGAAAUGCUUAGAUAUCACGAAGAACUCCGAUUGCGAAGGCAGCUUACU
rnacentral:rRNA from 1 species